rnacentral:rRNA from 1 species
UACGUAGGGGGCAAGCGUUGUCCGGAUUUAUUGGGCGUAAAGAGCUCGUAGGCGGUUCGGUAAGUUGGGUGUGAAACCUCCAGGCUCAACCUGGAGACGCCACCCGAUACUGCUGUGACUAGAGUCCGGUAGGGGAGCGUGGAAUUCCUGGUGUAGCGGUGAAAUGCGCAGAUAUCAGGAGGAACACCAGCGGCGAAGGCGGCGCUCUGGGCCGGAACUGACGCUGAGGAGCGAAAGCGUGGGUAGCAAACAGG